UAAGGUUUUAUCUGCAUAUUAGUCCAACGAAUUCUAAUUUUGCAUUUAUGAUGGCCACAACUAUAAUCCGUUAAUGAAGUGAGCCUCUCUAUCCCCAUUAAUCGGUGUCCGUUAAAGAAUCUCAUGUGCAACAAACACAACUUAUUCAAGACGAAGGUUGUGGAAGUUUUACAAAACUUGAUUUCUGAACCUUCUUCUUCAAUUGGCUUAUAUAGGGCCAUGAAGAGCUUGAUGCUGCUAGCUUACGUGAACAUGAAGAGUUCACCAAAGUUAAAAAUAUUGUGACUAUAGAACUUGGAAGAUGGGAGAGAAAUUCCCACAUACCAUAUAAGGAGUCAAAAUUGGCCAUGCUUCUUCAAUAUUCCUUAAGUGGUCAUAGAAGAGUAUUCAAGAUGGUCAAGUCAAGCUACAGUCAAGACUGGAGGAAGAAGAAGAAGCUAAAGCUGCUUUGUUAAGCCAAAUACRGAGAUUGACAAAGAGGACAUUCCUUUGGGGAAGAAGAGGGGAUUUUGUUUCUCAAGUAAAUUGUGAUGAGAAGGAUAUUGAAAUCUGAAGACGAUUUUGCUAUGCUAUAUGGAUGGAGUUGUACAUGAUACAACRAAUUCAAGAUGCGGUAGAGAGGUUGAAGUUGCGGUCUCAAGCUGAUAAAUACCACUUAGAUGCUUCUUGUAAUUUACUCUUUGAUUAUUUAAGGGUCAAUACAAU